GACGAACGCUGGCGGCGUGCCUAAUACAUGCAAGUUGAGCGCUGAAGGUUGGUACUUGUACCAACUGGAUGAGCAGCGAACGGGUGAGUAACGCGUGGGGAAUCUGCCUUUGAGCGGGGGACAACAUUUGGAAACGAAUGCUAAUACCGCAUAAAAACUUUAAACACAAGUUUUAAGUUUGAAAGAUGCAAUUGCAUCACUCAAAGAUGACCCCGCGUUGUAUUAGCUAGUUGGUGAGGUAAAGGCUCACCAAGGCGAUGAUACAUAGCCGACCUGAGAGGGUGAUCGGCCACAUUGGGACUGAGACACGGCCCAAACUCCUACGGGAGGCAGCAGUAGGGAAUCUUCGGCAAUGGACGAAAGUCUGACCGAGCAACGCCGCGGGAGUGAAGAAGGUUUUCGGAUCGUAAAACUCUGUUGGUAGAGAAGAACGUUGGUGAGAGUGGAAAGCUCAUCAAGUGACGGUAACUACCCAGAAAGGGACGGCUAACUACGUG
rnacentral:rRNA from 1 species